GGGGGGGGGGGGGGGGGGGGGGAACGCAGGGGGGUCGGGCGGGGGGGGGGAGGUUGCUGCUGGAGUCAGCGGCGGACGGGUGAGUAAUGCCUAGGAAUCUGGCUGGUAGUGGGGGAUAACGUGCGGAAACGGGCGCUAAUAGCGCAUACGGCCUGAGGGAGAAAGUGGGGGAUCUUCGGACCUCACGCUAUCAGCUGCGCCUAGGUCGGAUUAGCUAGUUGGUGGGGUAAAGGCCUACCAAGGCGACGAUCCGUAACUGGUCUGCGAGGAGGAUCAGGCACACUGGAACUGAGACACGGUCCAGACUCCUACGGGAGGCAGCAGUGGGGAAUAUUGGACAAUGGGCGAAAGCCUGAUCCAGCCAUGCCGCGUGUGUGAAGAAGGUCUUCGGAUUGUAAAGCACUUUAAGUUGGGAGGAAGGGCAGUAAGUUAAUACCUUGCUGUUUUGACGUUACCAACAGAAUAAGCACCGGCUAACUUCGUG
rnacentral:rRNA from 1 species